GGAAGGAUGGCUGAGUGGUUAAAGCGCCCGAUUGGGGUCCAGGUCCUUUACGGGGCAAGGGUUCGAGUCCCUCUUCUGUCG